rnacentral:sRNA from 1 species
AAAGGGCUGCCUGGCAGGUGUCAAAGGCAGCGGUGGCCACAGAGGCGGUGGAGAGAUGGCCUUCAGCGGUUGCCAGGCUCCCUAUCUGAGCCCA